rnacentral:rRNA from 1 species
UGGGGAAUAUUGCACAAUGGGGGAAACCCUGAUGCAGCGACGCCGCGUGAGCGAUGAAGGCUUUCGAGUCGUAAAGCUCUGUCCUAUGGGAAGAUAAUGACGGUACCAUAGAAGAAAGCCCCGGCUAAUUACGUGCCAGCAGCCGCGGUAAUACGUAAGGGGCGAGCGUUGUCCGGAAUUAUUGGGCGUAAAGAGUGCGUAGGCGGCAAAUUAAGUCAGAUGUGAAAACUAAGGGCUCAACCCCUAGAUUGCAUCUGAAACUGAUAUGCUUGAGUCAAGGAGAGGAAAGUGGAAUUCCUAGUGUAGCGGUGGAAUGCGUAGAUAUUAGGAGGAAUACCGGUUGCGAAGGCGACUUUCUGGACUUGAACUGACGCUGAGGCACGAAAGCGUGGGGAGCAAACAGG